GACCGAAAAGAGAGCUGUUCGUAUUAGGUCGGUGAGACAAUGAUCGAGCGAAACUCAACGUCGAUGGUCUUGCGUAUAAAUUCAAUAAAGGAUGGACGAUGCAAAUUUAUCAACAGUAUCCUCGCAUAAAAGUUCCUCACCUUUUUGACCAACGUCACGAUGAUUUCAUAGAAGAUAUAGUGGAUUUAAACUCACCGAUGUCACCGAA